rfam:Armatimonadetes bacterium 13_1_40CM_64_14 13_1_40cm_scaffold_324, whole genome shotgun sequence.
CGCGAUAAAGGCUAACCCAGGGUGACCUGGGGGCGCAAAGCUACGGGGCCUGCCGGUGGCGAUCACCGGAAGGUUGGCCGGGUUGCCGAAC